UACAUUAUGCAGUUAUUCACAAGUUGAUAAUAUCACAGUCAUUAGUCAGAUAAUGUACCGUCAACACCCUGUCGUUUUGACUUUUGCUAUUUACAACCACAUUACGAUAGGCUAUAGAACUUAAUGUUUAUCAUUGGGCGGUUAAUGAAUAAUUACGCAAUGCUGUCUAAAUACCACCGUGUCACCGUCAAGCCGCAGAAUGAAUCCGACAGCAGCCACAUCUAUCUGCGCUGGAACCUGGCAAGUAAUCUGCUGAUCGAAACUGAUAGCUGGAAUAGUUUCAUGUUCGUUCAGUGCUGUACACAGCUUCAACGAUAGGCUUCUGUUGCUGAGUUCCCGGAGAUGGAUGUGAAGACGGUGCUUCUCUUGAUUGGAUGGAUGCUAGCAUCCGCGGCUUGCAAUCCAAAACAACAGCUGGUUGCUGAUUUGUUUCUGAACUUACGACAAACGUGUUGAACCCUUUGGUCCUAACACCACCCUAGAUGUGUGGAUGGACUUCACCCUUGUCGAGAUAUCUGAUAUCAACGAGAAAAAGCAAGUGCUGAUUGCAUACUGCUGGUUAGCUUUGGAAUGGAAGGAUGCAUCAUUAGCAUGGCAACCAGAAAAACAUAAGAACAUAACAGGGAUCCGUGUCCCAGCUGACGCCAUAUGGACGCCUGACAUACGCAUAAGUAACGCGUAAGUACCCCCAGAUAUCAAUUAUAGCAUGUGUUAUGAUGAGAGU